rnacentral:rRNA from 1 species
CUCACCGGAGGUAGAGCUACUGGAUGGUCUAGGGGGCCCAGAAGCUUACCGAUAUCAGCCAAACUCCGAAUGCCGGUGAGUGAGAGCGCGGCAGUGAGACUGCGGGCGAUAAUGUUCGUAGUCGAGAGGGAAACAGCCCAGAUCGCCAGCUAAGGUCCCUAAGCGUGUACUAAGUGGAAAAGGAUGUGGGGUCGCGAAGACAACCAGGAGGUUGGCUUAGAAGCAGCCACCCUUGAAACAGUGCGUAAUAGCUCACUGGUCAAGUGAUCCUGCGCCGACAAUGUAGCGGGGCUCAAGUACACCACCGAAGCUGCGGCAUUCACACAAUGCACCCGCUUGAUUCUGCGGAGUCUUGGGCAGUGGUGUGGAUGGGUAGGGGAGCGUCGUGUGGCCAUGGAAGCGGCAGGGUGACCUAGCCGUGGAGGCCACACGAGUGAGAAUGCAGGCAUGAGUAGCGAAAGACGAGUGAGAAACU